rnacentral:rRNA from 1 species
CACGGGGGGUGCAAGCGUUAUUCGGAAUUAUUGGGCGUAAAGGGCGCGUAGGCGGCCGUUUAAGUCGGGUGUGAAAUCCCGGGGCUUAACCCCGGAACUGCAUCCGAUACUGGAUGGCUUGAGUAUGGGAGAGGGAAGUGGAAUUCCAGGUGUAGAGGUGAAAUUCGUAGAUAUCUGGAGGAACACCAGUGGCGAAGGCGACUUCCUGGACCAAUACUGACGCUGAGGCGCGAAGGCGUGGGGAGCAAACAGG